UACGUAGGGUGCGAGCGUUGUCCGGAAUUACUGGGCGUAAAGAGCUCGUAGGUGGUUUGUCGCGUCGUCUGUGAAAUUCCGGGGCUUAACUCCGGGCGUGCAGGCGAUACGGGCAUAACUUGAGUACUGUAGGGGAGACUGGAAUUCCUGGUGUAGCGGUGAAAUGCGCAGAUAUCAGGAGGAACACCGGUGGCGAAGGCGGGUCUCUGGGCAGUAACUGACGCUGAGGAGCGAAAGCAUGGGGAGCAAACAGG
rnacentral:rRNA from 1 species